UUUAUAUGAGAGUUUGAUCCUGGCUCAGGAUGAACGCCGGCGGUGUGCCUAAUACAUGCAAGUCGUACGCACUGGCCCAACUGAUUGAUGGUGCUUGCACCUGAUUGACGAUGGAUCACCAGUGAGUGGCGGACGGGUGAGUAACACGUAGGUAACCUGCCCCGGAGCGGGGGAUAACAUUUGGAAACAGAUGCUAAUACCGCAUAACAACAAAAGCCACAUGGCUUUUGUUUGAAAGAUGGCUUUGGCUAUCACUCUGGGAUGGACCUGCGGUGCAUUAGCUAGUUGGUAAGGUAACGGCUUACCAAGGCGAUGAUGCAUAGCCGAGUUGAGAGACUGAUCGGCCACAAUGGAACUGAGACACGGUCCAUACUCCUACGGGAGGCAGCAGUAGGGAAUCUUCCA
rnacentral:rRNA from 2 species